AUUUCUCUGAGAUGUUUGCAAGCGGGCCAGUCCCCUGAGCCGAUAUUUCAUACCACAAGAAUGUGGCGAGAAUGUGGCGCUCCACGGUUGGUGAGCAUGCUCGGCCCGUCCGAGAAGCCUUAAAACUGUGACGACACAUUCACCUUGAACCAAGGGUUCAAGGGUUACAGCCUGCGGCGGCAUCUCGGAGAUUCC
rnacentral:other from 1 species